rnacentral:rRNA from 1 species
UACGUAGGGUGCGAGCGUUAAUCGGAAUUACUGGGCGUAAAGCGUGCGCAGGCGGUUUUGUAAGACAGGCGUGAAAUCCCCGGGCUCAACCUGGGAAUGGCGCUUGUGACUGCAAGGCUGGAGUGCGGCAGAGGGGGAUGGAAUUCCGCGUGUAGCAGUGAAAUGCGUAGAGAUGCGGAGGAACACCGAUGGCGAAGGCAAUCCCCUGGGCCUGCACUGACGAUCAUGCACGAAAGAGUGGGGAGCAAACAGG